rnacentral:rRNA from 1 species
AUGUCGUCGUCCUCAGCGGCUCCCAUGGAGCGGCACCACUCCAUCGACGCGCAGCUGCGCCUCCUCGCCCCCGGCAAGGUCUCCGAGGACGACAAGCUCGUCGAGUACGACGCCCUCCUCGUCGACCGCUUCCUCGACAUCCUCCAGGACCUCCACGGCCCACACCUCCGCGAGUUCGUGCAGGACUGCUACGAGGUGGCGGCGGAGUACGAGGGGGACCGCGACGCGGCGCGGCUGGACGAGCUCGGCGGCAGGCUCACGGGGCUGGCCCCGGCCGACUCCAUCGUCGUGGCCAGCUCCUUCUCCCACAUGCUCAAUCUUGCCAACCUCGCCGAGGAGGUGCAGAUCGCGAACCGCCGCAGGAACAAGCUCAAGCGCGGGGACUUCGCCGACGAGGCCUCCGCCACCACCGAGUCCGACAUCGAGGAGACGCUCAAGAGGCUGGUGUCCGACCUGGGCAAGACCCGCGAGGAGGUGUUCGACGCGCUCAAGAACCAGACCGUCGACCUCGUCUUCACCGCCCACCCCACGCAGUCCAUCCGGAGGUCACUCCUCCAGAAGCACGGCAGGAUACGGAAUUGCCUGAGGCAGCUCUACGCCAAGGACAUCACGGCCGACGACAAGCAAGAGCUCGACGAGGCUCUUCAGAGAGAGAUUCAAGCUGCUUUCCGAACUGACGAAAUCCGGAGAACACAGCCCACUCCACAGGAUGAAAUGCGUGCCGGGAUGAGUUACUUCCAUGAAACUAUAUGGAAGGGUGUACCCAAGUUCUUACGCCGCGUGGACACAGCUCUUAAGAAUAUCGGAAUCGAUGAGCGUCUUCCAUACAAUGCUCCUCUCAUUCAGUUCUCUUCUUGGAUGGGUGGUGACCGUGAUGGAAAUCCCAGAGUCACACCAGAGGUGACAAGGGAUGUAUGCCUGUUGGCCAGAAUGAUGGCUGCUAACUUGCACUUCUCACAGAUAGAAGAGCUCAUGUUCGAGCUCUCGAUGUGGCGAUGCAACGAUGAACUUCGCGUCCGCGCUGAGGAACUACACCGCGCUUCAAGGAAAGCCGAAAAACAUUACAUAGAGUUCUGGAAGCAAGUUCCCCCGACUGAACCUUACCGUGUGAUACUGGGCUAUGUGCGGGACAAACUGUACUACACACGCGAACGUUCCCGCCAUCUUCUCACCAGCGGGUCUUCUGACAUCCCCGCGGACUCCACCUUCACCGAUGUCGAACAGUUCCUGGAGCCCCUCGAGCUGUGCUACCGAUCACUGUGCGAUUGCGGCGACAAGACCGUCGCCGACGGGAGCCUCCUCGACUUCCUCCGUCAGGUGUCGACCUUCGGCCUGUCCCUCGUCAAGCUCGACAUCCGGCAGGAGUCGGACCGGCACACCGACGCGCUGGACGCGAUCACCGCGCACCUCGGCAUCGGCUCGUACCGCUCGUGGCCCGAGGAGAAGCGGCAGGAGUGGCUGCUGUCGGAGCUGAGGGGCAGGCGCCCGCUGUUUGGCGGCGACCUCCCCAUGACCGAGGAGGUGGCCGACGUCCUCGGCACGUUCCGCGUCCUCGCCGAGCUCCCGCCGGACUGCUUCGGCGCCUACAUCAUCUCCAUGGCGACGGCGCCGUCCGACGUGCUCGCCGUCGAGCUCCUGCAGCGGGAGUGCCACGUGGGGCACCCCCUCAGGGUGGUCCCGCUGUUCGAGAAGCUAGCCGACCUGGAGGCCGCCCCCGCGGCCGUCGCGCGGCUGUUCUCGAUCGACUGGUACAUGGACCGGAUAGGCGGCAAGCAGGAGGUCAUGAUCGGCUACUCCGACUCCGGCAAGGACGCCGGCCGCCUGUCCGCGGCGUGGCAGCUGUACAAGGCGCAGGAGGAGCUGGUCAAGGUGGCGAAGCAGUACGGGGUGAAGCUGACCAUGUUCCACGGGAGGGGCGGCACGGUCGGCAGGGGCGGCGGGCCGACCCACCUGGCCAUACUGUCCCAGCCGCCGGAGACGGUGAACGGGUCGCUCCGCGUGACGGUGCAGGGCGAGGUGAUCGAGCACUCGUUCGGCGAGGAGCACCUCUGCUUCCGGACUCUGCAGCGGUUCACGGCCGCCACCCUGGAGCACGGCAUGCACCCGCCGGUCUCCCCCAAGCCCGAGUGGCGCGCCCUCAUGGACGAGAUGGCCGUCGUGGCCACGGAGGAGUACCGCGCCAUGGUCUUCAAAGAACCACGAUUCGUCGAGUACUUCAGAUCGGCGACACCUGAGACAGAGUACGGCAGGAUGAACAUCGGCAGCCGGCCGUCGAAGAGGAAGCCGAGCGGCGGCAUCGAGACGCUGCGCGCCAUCCCGUGGAUCUUCGCCUGGACGCAGACGAGGUUCCACCUCCCCGUGUGGCUCGGCUUCGGCGCCGCGUUCAAGCACAUCAUGCAAAAGGACAUCAGGAACGUCCAGGCCCUCAGGGAGAUGUACAACGAGUGGCCCUUCUUCAGGGUCACGCUGGACCUGCUGGAGAUGGUGUUCGCCAAGGGAGACCCCGGGAUCGCCGCGCUCUACGACGAGCUGCUCGUCGCCGACGAGCUCAAACCCCUCGGGGAGCAGCUGAGGAGCAACUUCGAGGACACCAAAAAGCUGCUUGUCCAGGUUGCUGGACAUAGGGACGUUCUUGAAGACGACCCGUACCUGAAGCAGCGGCUGCGGCUGCGGGACCCGUACAUCACCACCCUGAACGUGUGCCAGGCCUACACGCUGAAGCGGAUCAGGGACCCCAGCUUCCAGGUGACGGCGCAGCCGCCACUGUCCAAGGAGUUCGCCGACGAGAACCAGCCGGCGUCGCUGGUGAAGCUCAACGCGGCGAGCGAGUACGCGCCGGGGCUGGAGGACACGCUCAUCCUCACCAUGAAGGGCAUCGCCGCCGGCAUGCAGAACACGGGCUAG